rnacentral:lncRNA from 1 species
CCCACCUCUACCUCUACUUUUAAUGAUUUGAAAAACCAAGUUUAUGUACAAGGCAACAAGCAAGUGGAGCCAGAAGAUUUCUAAGGUUUACCUGAAGAGUUGAAGAAACUUUGUUGGGGGAAAUUCCAAGCUACCUUCAACCUAUUGCGAGCUGAAUCGUAAAAGAUUUUGCAAAAGUUGGGUUUCGCCAUAGUCUGGCUCCAGUUCUGUUUUGUGCUGUAGUAAAAGAGAUGGAAGAUUUUCUUUCUUAACAAAUCAUCCGCAAAUCCCACCUGAAAACCAACUUCCUCGGCCUUUUUAAGUGUUGCCCCCCACUUCUUCAACGUAUCCAAGUCCAAUUUCUUAGCUGGAAAAUCUUCCAUCUCUUUUACGAUUUGGACUUGGAUACGUUGAAGAAGUGGGGGGCAACACUUAAAAAGGUCAAGGAAUUUGGUUUUCAGGUGGGAUUUGCGGAUGAUUUGUUAAAGAAGAAAAUCUUCCAUCUCUUUUAUUGCGGCACAAAACAGAACUGGAGCCAGACUAUGGCGAAACCCAACUUUUGCAAAAUCCUUUACGAUUCAGCUCACAAUAGGUGUUAAAAGAAACAAUCAUAUUUACAUUGUAGAUACAAUGAUUUUAGGAAUCAUCUAUUAAAAAUCAUUCUCAGAUUUUAGUUAUUUUGUUUACUAUUGAAAUUGAA